rnacentral:lncRNA from 1 species
GGAGUAGCCUCACACCCAUGAAAACACCCAGGUGUCCCAUCCACCUCCGGCACCUUGGCUGAGGCAAGUGGAAGAAGAAGAAACAGCCAUGGAGUGAGUGAGAAGGGAAACCCUGGUACACAUUUCCGGUCAGAGCCAGGGCUAAGGGAUUUGUUAUUCUGCAACAGAUGAUCCCAGAGGACUCUAAAGACAAGGAGAAAAAGUGAAAUGUGGAAAUACUCCUCAUCCCAGCUGUAAGGAGUUUUCUUUGCAUUUAUAUGCAAUGUCUUGCUAAGGAAUUUAUGUGGAGUUCUC